GGAUCAUUAUAGAGUUAUCAAAACUCCCAACCCAUGAUGAACUUACCUUUGUUGCCUCGGUGGAGCCUACCCGGUACCUAGUACCCUGUAGUCCACCGGUGGACAUUCUAAACUAUGUUAUGUAUGGAUAUCUGAGCGUCUUAUUUUAAUAAGUCAAAACUUUCAACAACGGAUCUCUUGGUUCUGGCAUCGAUGAAGAACGCAGCGAAAUGCGAUAAGUAAUGUGAAUUGCAGAAUUCAGUGAAUCAUCGAAUCUUUGAACGCACAUUGCGCCCAUUAGUAUUCUAUUGGGCAUGCCUGUUCGAGCGUCAUUUCAACCCUUAAGCCUAGCUUAGUGUUGGGAAUCUACUCUAGUGGUGGCUACCAGGUUUACCUGGUAGCUACCCUGUAGUUCCUUAAAUCCAACGGCGGAGCUGUAGUAUCCUCUGAGCGUAGUAAUUUUUCAUCUCGCUUUUGUAGGUGCUGCGGUUAUAGCCGUUAAACCCCCAAUUUUUAAUGGUUGACCUC
rnacentral:rRNA from 1 species